AGAAUUUGAUCUUGGUUCAGGAUGAACGCUAGCGACAGGCCUAACACAUGCAAGUCGAGGGGCAGCACAAGGAGUAAUCUGAGGUGGCGACCGGCGCACGGGUGAGUAACACGUAUGCAACCUGGCUGUAAGAGGGGAAUAACCCGGAGAAAUCCGGACUAAUACCGCAUAAUACUUAGAAUCCGCAUGGAUUUUUAAGUUAAACAUUUAUGGCUUACAGAUGGGCAUGCGUAUGAUUAGCUGGUUGGAGAGGUAACGGCUCCCCAAGGCAACGAUCAUUAGGGGUUCUGAGAGGAAGGUCCCCCACACUGGUACUGAGACACGGACCAGACUCCUACGGGAGGCAGCAGUGAGGAAUAUUGGUCAAUGGACGCAAGUCUGAACCAGCCCAAGUCGCGUGAAGGAAGAAUGUCCCAUGGAUUGUAAACUUCUUUUGAAGGGGAAUAAAGUACGGUACGUGUACCGUUUUGUAUGUACCCUUCGAAUAAGGAUCGGCUAACUCCGUGCCAGCCGCCGC
rnacentral:rRNA from 1 species